GGGCGUGUAGCUCAGUUGGUUAGAGCGCUACCAUGACACGGUAGAGGUCCCGGGUUCGAGUCCCGUCAUGCCCACUA
rnacentral:tRNA from 1 species